rnacentral:rRNA from 1 species
GACGAACGCUGGCGGCGUGCUUAACACAUGCAAGUCGAACGGAAAGGCCCUGCUUGCAGGGUGCUCGAGUGGCGAACGGGUGAGUAACACGUGGGUGAUCUGCCCCUUACUUUGGGAUAAGCCUGGGAAACUGGGUCUAAUACUGGAUAGGACCAUGCUGUAUGUGGUGUGGUGGAAAGAUUAGUUUCGGUAAGGGAUGAGCUCGCGGCCUAUCAGCUUGUUGGUGGGGUAAUGGCCUACCAAGGCGUCGACGGGUAGCCGGCCUGAGAGGGUGGACGGCCACAUUGGGACUGAGAUACGGCCCAGACUCCUACGGGAGGCAGCAGUGGGGAAUAUUGCACAAUGGGCGCAAGCCUGAUGCAGCGACGCCGCGUGGGGGAUGACGGCCUUCGGGUUGUAAACUCCUUUCAGCCAUGACGAAGCCCUUGUGGUGACGGUAGUGGUAGAAGAAGCACCGGCUAACUACGUG